rnacentral:rRNA from 1 species
AUUGAACGCUGGCGGCAGGCCUAACACAUGCAAGUCGAGCGAGCGGCGGACGGGGGAGUAAGGGAUGGGGACCGCCCGAUAGAGGGGGAUAACAACGGGAAACGGUAGCUAAACCCGCAUAAUAUGCGAUAACCCACAUGGGAUUAGCUAGUAUGUGGGGGAAUGGCUCACCUAGGCGACGAUCCCUAGCUGGUCUGAGAGGAGGAUCAGACACACUGGGACUGAGACACGGCCCAGACUCCUACGGAGGCAGCAGUGGGGAAUAUUGCACAAUGGGCGCAAGUCUGAUGCAGCCAUGCCGCGUGUAUGAAGAAGGCCCUAGGGUUGUAAAGUACUUUCAGUCGGGAGGCGUUACCGACAGAAGAAGCAACGGCUAACUCCGUGCCAGCAGCCGCGGUAAUAC